rnacentral:lncRNA from 1 species
AUUACUUGACCUCAAAUCAUACUACAAGUCUGUAGUCACCAAAACAGCAUAGAAUUGAUAUAAAAAUAGGCACAUAGACCAAUGGAACAUACUAGAGAACCCAGAGGAAAAAGCCAAAUACUGACAGGCAACUGAUCUUCGACAAAUCAAACAAAAACAUAUGGUGGGGAAAGGACACCCUAUUCAACAAAUGGUCCUGAGAUAAUUGGCAAGUCAUAUAUAGAAGGAUAAAACUGAAUCCUCAUCUCUCAUCUUAUACAAAAAUCAACUCAAGUAUCAGACUACAAGUUCUUCAGCUCUGGGACUCAAGCUGGCUUCCUCUCUCCUCAGCUUGCAGACAGCCUAUUGUGAGACUUUGUGAGCAUAAGUAUAAGACAAGCAUAUAAUAGGUCACUAAGACCCAGAAGUGGCAUACCAGUUCCAAAUGAACACAGCAAUAUAUGUGACCUCAGAGAACCUUUCUGGAAUCAUAAUAGUGGUAGAUGAUUUCUUAUUUCUGCUCUGUGGACAAAGGUUAUGAAAAGUUUGUUAAUUACAGCUAUUCCAGAGCCUGACUCUCAGUUGACUAAUUCUAUAAGUCAGAUCACACCUCCCCUUUUACAGAUAACAUUGCUUGAAGGAAGACAGAACUAUGCUACUCAAGAAUCAUGACGAACAGAUCAUAUAGACAGGGGUUUGCAGUGUUGCCCAGACUGAAAUGCAGUUUUGUGACCUCAGCUCACCACAACCUCCACCUCCUGCUCCUGCCUCAGCCUCUUGAGUAGCUGGGAUUACAGGCACGCAACCACACCAAGCUAACGUUUGUACUUCAGUAGAGAAAAGGUUUCAUCCUUUUCGCCAGGCUGGGCUGAAACUCCUGACCUCAAGUUAUCUACAUUCUUUGGACUCCCAAAGUGUUAGGAUUGCAAGCAUGAGUCACCACACCUGGCUCCAACCCAGAUUUUUAAGGCUCUCCCAAGGAUAAUUUCCUUAAAGCACAAACUAGUUUAUGUCUGUUGAUUAACAUUCUUUUAUGAAUUUCUCCAGUUUUCAGAAUAAAAUAUUGUAUUUUACUUUUAUUUUCAGAAGAAGCAAAAUUCUUUGUGUAAUUGUGCCUGUUUAAGCUUUAGUCUCUUCUUGUUAGUCACCUAAAUAUGCCUGUAUGCUUUGGUCAACCUGGAAAUUUCCUUAUGACUUUUCAUACUGUACUACCCUCUAAUUGUAAUGCACUCCUGCUGAAGUAAACGCUCCUCUUCUGCUACAUAUCACGCCUUUAUAACUCUCCUACUUUAUGUAACAGAAUACUUUGCUUUCCUAGCC